AACGAACGCUGGCGGCAGGCCUAACACAUGCAAGUCGAACGAGAAGCUGGAGCUUGCUCCGGUGGACAGUGGCAGACGGGUGAGUAACACGUGGGAAUCUACCUAGUGGUACGGAAUAACUCAAGGAAACCUGAGCUAAUACCGUAUACGCCCUUCGGGGAAAGAUUUAUCGCCAUUAGAUGAGCCCGCGUCGGAUUAGCUAGUUGGUGAGGUAACGGCUCACCAAGGCGACGAUCCGUAGCUGGUCUGAGAGGAUGAUCAGCCACACUGGGACUGAGACACGGCCCAGACUCCUACGGGAGGCAGCAGUGGGGAAUAUUGGACAAUGGGCGCAAGCCUGAUCCAGCCAUGCCGCGUGAGUGACGAAGGCCUUAGGGUUGUAAAGCUCUUUCGGC
rnacentral:rRNA from 1 species